rnacentral:rRNA from 1 species
AUGUGUAACCAAUUGAAUGGACUUAAGAGAUAUACUCGUAUUUCCAAAUUUCGACACGUCGAGGGGACUACAAGUUCUUUUCAAUCAAUUUUUGAAUGGCCGUUUUCAGUCGAUUUCGUUCCCGCUAGAAGGUUCUCGCGCCGACGGCGACGUCCUGUUGCUUUGCACGAACGUCCUCAUGCGCUCGAUAGCCCUGGCGGUGUCGGGGAGGUCCGGGAAGAGGUAGAACGCGUGGAUGCCGUCCGGGAACUCCACCACCUCCACGGACUUCCCCUUCCGCCGCAGCACGUCGGCGUACCGCCGCUGCCAGUCCUGCAGCGGGUCGAACCCGCCGACCAGCACCAUCGCCGGCGGGAACGCCUCGGCCAGCUCGGCGUUCUCGUCGGUCACGUGCGCCGCCGGGUGGUCGCGGCUGGCGCCCUCCGGCAGGAACGCCCUCCACCAGAAGUCCGCCCGCCGGAUGGUCACGAUCGGCACCACGCCGUCCAGCCUCAGCUCCGACUCCGUCCGCUCCUCGCCGCCGAAGUACGGCUGCACGGACAGGAGGCCGGCGAGGCGCACGGAGUUUGGGGUGGGCGCGGCCGCAGCCCAGCGGUUGGCCGCGUGGUGGAUUAUGUUGCCGCCGGCGCUCUCCCCGGCGAGGAAGCAGCUGGAGAGGUCCACGCGGACGCCCUCGUCCAGCCCCGGGACGCCGUUGGCGUCGAUGAAGCGGAGCGCGUCCACGGCGUCGUCGUAGGCGGCCGGGUAGGGGUGCUCGGGCGCGAGGCGGUACUCGACGGAGACCACGACGGCGCCGACGCCCCGGCAGAGGCGGCGGCAGAGGCGGUCGAAGUAGCACUGGCGCGCGGAGAACAUCGCGAAGCCGCCGCCGUGGAAGUAGACGACGACCGGGAGCGGGGCCUGGGGCGCGACGGGGGAGGAGAAGGAGAAGACGCGCGCCAAGAGGCCGCGCGACGCGUCGACGUCGAAGUCGACGGAGCGGACGCCGGAGGAGUCCGGGCGAGGGCUCGCGCGCACGCGGAGGAUGCGGUCGGCGACGGAGUAGAGGCCGCGGUUGACGGUGCCGUCGCGGCGGUUUAUGGUGUCGAUGAGGGGCGAGAACGCGGUGACCUGCAGCCGCACCGCGAACGGCAGCGCCGGCGGCGAGGCGCGAGACACCUCUCGGCUCCUGCUUCCCGUUUCCUCCAUCGUUUUCUUGGCUGGCGCCUGCUGCAUUUGGAUACGUCUCUGCGACUAUAUGCGCAUGAGCUGUGGACUCCGAGCCAUGGCCGAUCGCCGUCGCAGACUGCCCCGAAGUGGGCAGUCUGGCGUUGCACGUCAACCCACGCGCACCAGCCAUAUGACUAUGAGGAAAUGACACCGAAUUCGGCUGUAGACGACGUACACGUCCGAAGCACCUCCUCUGCCCUCUCUCUGGUGAUUUCAUAA